UUUGGGGCAGGGAUGCUCCAAGUGCGGCAGGAGAGCUGGGCCUGGUUUUGGGGCUGCUGUUUAUUUAUGGGCCUCUGACUGGGGAAAAUAAAAAUACACACUGGCAAGUCAUCCCUGAAGAGUCCAAAUGAGCUGUUGGGGUUUUGGUGCCUCUUAGCUGUGCUUGUGCUGAUGAGAGAAGAAGAAAAUCCACAGGAAAGUGCAUCUUGUGUACAGGUGGCCACACAAGCAGAGUUUGCUUCUCCUGCUGGAUUCAUCAUGAUAACUCCAGCUUUUGAACUGAGCCAGGACCCGGAUUUCCUUACAGUGAAAAUCAGAGUGCCUUAUGCCAGAGCUUCAGAGUUUGACAUUUACUUUGAAGGGGAAGACUUCAAAUUUUAUGCUAAGCCAUACUUUCUCAGAUUGACACUUCCUGGAAGAAUUGUGGAGGAUGGCAGAGAAAAAGCAUCUUACAAUACAGAUGAAGGUACUUUUACAAUUCAGUUGCCCAAGGAGGUUCCUGGCCAAUAUUUUGAGGGGCUGGACAUGCUGACAUCUCUUUUAGCACCAAAGAAAUCAAGAUCAGCAAAACCUCUGGUAGAAGAGAUGGAUUCAGCUGCCUCUGCUGAGCUGUCUGAAGAGAAUGAAGAGGAAUUUGACUGGGAAAUGGAACAGACUCCUUAUGAAGAAAGCCCUCCACCACUGCAGCACCCCUAUGGCUUUGGGAAUUUGCGCUCAGGGGUGUUCCAGAGGCUGCAGGAUGAGCUCAGUGAUGUUAUUGACAUUAAGGAUCCUGACCAAACCCCUGCAGAGGAACGGAGGAGGAGACGUUUGGCAGCUGAGGCUGCCAAGUUUGAGCCUGAUCAUUACCUAGCUGAUUUUUUUGAAGAUGAAACUAUUAAGCAUCUUUUAAAGUACAAACCCUGGUGGAUUGAUGCUCAUAAAAAGAUGACAGCCUUGCAGGGAGGAAGUCAUCAGGAACAUGACAGUCCUGCAUUUGUUGUCUUCUCUGAGGAAGAGAGAGAGCAGAUGAGAAAGUUCACAAAUAAAUCUUACCUCCUGGAUAAAAGGAGCCGUCACCACGUGUAUCUUGGAUUAAUUGAUAUUCUUCUGGCAUACUGCUACGAGAUCCGUGUCAAUGAAGGGGACAAGAAUGUUGAAUCAUCUUGGAACAUCAGGAAACUGAGUGCAACGUUGUGCUGGCUGGAGAGUUUCUCCAGCAUCCAUGAUGUCCUGGUAUCUUUUGGAAGAAGAGUGCUGUGCUAUCCCCUGUACAGGCACUUUGAGCUGGUGACACGUGCCUUCAGUGACACAGGCAUGAUUCUGCAGCUGGGGAAAGCUGCAGUGUUGAAGUGUCUGCUGGACAUUCACAAGAUUUUUAUGGAGAGUGACCCUGCCUACAUCCUUAAUGAUCUCUUCAUUACAGACUACUGCAUCUGGAUCCAGAAAGUCAACUUAUGUGAAAGCUUCCUUGGAAACAAUCAAAUCCCUGAUGUCUGUCUGCAGUGAGACUUGUUCCUCACAGCUCUAUGUUCUGGAGAUAACAGCUAUCUUGGCUCUUCAGAUCCUGAGCUCUCUGUACUUCCUGGAACAAAAAGCAGGACUGGAGCUUGUAGGAGUUUGGCUUUACCUGGAGUUGUGUCCUGCUUGUCACUCGUGUCCCAGUCCUGCAGUCAGUGCCAUCACCAGCUCCUCUCUUCAUGCUGCCACAGGUGGCCUUUGCUGUAAACAUCUAAUGAUCUCCCUUUCCUCUUGCCAUAAUCCUCUUUUUAUUUUUCUCAGAGUUCUAUCCAUCUCCCUUUAUUUGCUAAAUCUCCUUUGAUUCUUUGUUCUUUUCAGCCCAGUUUCACUCCUUUAUAAUCUAAGAUCUGUAGAACAAGAUUUUUUUCUUCUUCUAGCACCUGAAGAAACUCUCCUGUGCCUAGACAAGGAUUACUGCAGUUCUGUCUUGGAAUUUUAAUUCCAGACUGCAUGGACAAGCCCCAAGAUGCUUCUCUUAUCUGUUCCUCAAAGCUAUGCAUUAAACAAAACAUGCAUCUGAUCAGUUUAACCUGUAAUUAAACAUUUUCCUUAAGCAACUGACAUUGUGAUAACUAAUAAUUAUCAUGUGUAGCACCUUUAAAACCUAUUAUGCAUGUUUAUGUAAGAACACUAUUACCAUAAUAAUAAGAUAUCAUUACCACAAAUGUGCAUACUGAAUGAGCAUGUCUUAAAGUAAUCAUGGAUUCCAUUAAUCAUACUUGAAAAAUUAAAGUAUUUGCUGUCUAAUCUCUCAAACACUACUCGAAAGAUUUUGGAAACAGCAGGGCCUGUUUACUGCAGGUCUCAUACACAAGAUCUUGUUUCUGGUGUCUCAUUUUUGUUUUCCUGAGUUGCUGCUUGUCUUUCACCUUGGGAAACCAUCAGCUCAGAGACCCAGGCCUCCCUUUGAAAGCAUCUCCAUGCUGAUUUUUAGUCUGUUUGCCUUUUUUGUCCAGGGAAUGCUGCCACCUUCUCUUAAGGCUGAUGUGAAAUGCACUCCUGAAACUUGGUUCUCCUUCAAAUUAGAUAAUUGCCUUAAAGGAGAUGAACUGAUAGCUAAUUGUAAUUCUCUUAGUCCCUUGCACAGGGGCAGAAAAGAAACAACCCCAUUCUUCAAGUGUUCUUUGUUGUUUUGUUUUGGGGUUUUUUUGUUUUUUUUUUUUUUUUUUAAUACAAGAUUGCAGAGUUGGGGAGCAGAGCUUUUUGGGUUUAUGUAUAAAAUUGUUAAGGGGUGACAGUUCUGAGUUUGUCUCAUAUUUAAAAGUUGAGCUCUGUAGAUUCUGAUGGAGACUGGAUGAGAAGAGUGAAAGUUGGGAAAAAACAUUUGACCUACUUGGAAAACAAAUGAGACUUUUUGUAGUCAGAAUAUUUGGGGUUGGAAGGGACCUUUAAAGGCCAUCUAGUCCAACCCCCUGCAGUGAGCAGGGACAGCAAGUACCUGAUGUGGCCAAGAGUUAAAAAACCAACUUAAUUGCUUUAGGGAGAUGAUUCUUUUAUCUGUCAGCAGGACCACUUUGAAUUUAGUGAUGUGUGUGGAGUCAAGUCUAUCACUGUGUGUUUUCUUCCCUAACACUUGGCAUUAGGUAACCUGGACACAGCAAAGUAUUUAUUAGUGCCAAAAAAGCACAUUGUCAUACAACUCCUAAAUACUUGAUGCAGUCUGUGAUAUAUUUCUGUAUUUUAAUAUAUAAACUGCAUUAUAAGAAAAUAGUGAAGUUGUGGGAGAGGAUUUUAAGGACUGAGUCUAGAGCAGGGGAAGUAGGCAUGAAAAGGUAGAAAAAAUAGGCAAAAAAUAGGAAAAAGCAAAAAAACCCCAUAGAAUUACAGAAUAGAGUAGAAUUAUAGAAUAUACAUAUAGAAAUUGACAGAUACAAUGGAAGUGUGGGGAGAAAGAGGACUUUGAAAAUUGCUUUUCUGUCACAAUGGCAGCAGUGAAACGGGCGAGACAGGCAGUGGGAACUGGGGGGAAAUUGUUGUGGCAGAGGGUGUGUGGUGAGUUGCUCACGGUGUCAAUGGAAUUAAAAGGAGCCAAUGAAAAGGGACAGAACAGGAUUGUGUGACAGGGCACAGCCCUGUGGCUGUGGACAGGCAGGAGCAGGAGAGGAAAAGGAGCUGAACCUUCACGGGCUGAGCAGCUCUCACUGGGGAAGGGGCACGUGCACAGACAGUUGGAAGGAAGGAAAGAGGCUGUUGGAAAAUCAAAGCAAAAUGGUUUCUGAAAGGGAUAUAAACUCUUGUGACCUGGGGUGUAAAUCAGCUUCUCCCCAGUGUGCUCAGGAGGGAGAUUUCCCUGCAGCCUCUUCUUCUGUUCCCACCUACCUGCAAGGCUCCAUGAACCUCUCAAGGCAUCACUUGGCUUCUCUUCCUUCCUCUUUUCUGAUGGAGCAGGGAGAAUGCUUGCUUUGUUCCCAAUUAACUUGGCAAUUUCUCAAAUCCCCCAUAACUUUCCAAGAAAAUUGCAAGUCCUUGACAAAAAAAUGGAAAUAAGUUGCCAGAAAGAAAACAUUAUUCUAGUAAGUUUUUUAAACUUGGUACCCCUUUUUUUAUCAGAGGCUGGUAGGAUCAUGUUGCAUUUAAUUCUUAGCUUUCAGUUUGAAAAUUCUAGAAAUAGAACUUGUUUACUGUUGCUUUACUUCUGAGAAAAUUAUUUCACAGUUUCCUGGUCGGUGGGUUGAACUAAGGAAGUCUAGUGUGUUUUAUUCCAAGUUUUUAAAGCAUUUAAAUGUUGCCCUGUCUGUAAAACGUGUAAGAAGCUGCACUGAAUUUCCCUUCCCCCACUUAAAAAUGCAAUUCCUUUAGGAGAAAAAAAAAAAAAAGUGGAAGUAUCUAUGUUAUACUGAGUAAUUAUGCCCCCUGGGAAAUAGAAUAUAAAGAUCUUUAAAAUCAUUCAAGUGAGAGAACAAGCACUUUAACUUUUGCCUGGCAGGAGCCGUGUAUUACAUCCCAGCUCCUUGCUCCAGUGUCAGUGUGUGGUGCCUUGCAGGUUCACAGCCCUGGCAGAGGAAAUGAAACCCAGUCAGUUACUGCAGGAUUUAUAGCAGACCUGCUGCUGCAGGAAGUGGUGAAAAGCUGAUUGAUAGUCCGAGGCAAAACUCCACAACAAGAAACAGGAUGUCAAAAAAGUUGGCUGCACUCUGUGAGUCCUUGCAGAAAACCACGCUCAGCAAGUCCCACAUGGGGCUGGAGCUGGAAGAGCUGGAAGCAGCAGCAGUGCUGGUACAGGAGGAAGAGAAGGCGUU